ACUUCAAACACUCCUGUUACCCCAGACAUUUUCUUGGACUGCUGCAGCUGUCCUAAAACCAGCCAUGAUCCUCCACAUUGCUGUGCUUAGUGUCCUCUUCUGCUGGAUCCACUGUUUUGCUAUACAGGCCUCUUUUGAAAAGAGUGAUGAGUACUCUGGCAACACCAUAGAGGAUGAUGAGUUCAGUGUCUCCACACUGUUAGAGAAGGCUAAUGCUAAUGUUGGAAAAAACUUAAAUGAGCCCCUAGUGAUGUUUGGGGACAUAGCAAUGCCAACAGGUCUACAGAACGCUGAUCCCUGUAUACAACGAGGAUGCCUGUGGCCCAAAGCUUCUGAUGGCAACGUCUAUGUACCCUUCCGCAUCUCCAACCAGUACUCCCAAAGAGAGAGAGAUACCAUCACCCGAGGACUGCGGUCAUUUGCUGAAUCCACCUGCAUCCGCUUCACCCCCUUGAAUGGUCAGAGGGACUUUGUGGAUAUUCAGUCUCGUUCAGGGUGCUACUCAUUUGUCGGGCGUCGAGGUGGGGCCCAGGUGGUGUCUUUGAGUCGACAGGGCUGUGUUUUCCAACAGGUCAUCCAGCAUGAGCUGCUCCAUGCCCUGGGGUUUAACCAUGAGCAGACCCGGUCCGACAGGGACCAGCAUGUUCAAAUCCUGCUGAAUAAUGUUAUUCAAGGAAUGGAGCACAAUUUCAGGAAGAUCCCAACAAUCAACCUUGACACUCCCUAUGACUACAACUCUGUCAUGCACUAUGGAAGGUUUGCCUUCUCUAGGAACAGGCAGCCAACCAUUAUUCCUAUCCCUGACAACAAUGUAGCCAUCGGCAGGGCCACCGCAAUGAGCCCUAUUGAUAUUCUUCGAGUGAACCGUCUUUAUCGCUGCAAUUCAACUUCUUCCGGACUUGACCUGACCAUGCAAAGAAAACAUUUCCUCUCAAAUUGAAAGUAAGUCAGUUUGGAUAUUCUUUCUAGCUUGCUAUGUACACAUUACACUUUUUUUGUUUUGUUUUGUUUUUUUGGAGAAAUUGUGAAUGUAAAUUUAUUGAAAUUGUGAUAUUUUUAACAUAUUCCCUCUUGUUCCAACAGGAAUGAGGCAUUUUGAUUCAACAAGCAAAACCAGCAAUGCAUCUUGUACUUAGCAAUUGCGCUUUAAAGAAAAUCAGAAUUUGAUUAAAUUAGCUUUUCUGCUUGCUGAACGACAAAUGAAGUGUUCAGUGAGAUCGUCUGAUCGUCGAUUUCUAUCACUUUAACCAUACAGCAUAACUGCUUGCAAGCUUGAUUGAGUACGAAUAAUGAAUAAAAAUUAAUAUUCACAUGUCUUUA